UACGAAGGGGGCUAGCGUUGCUCGGAAUCACUGGGCGUAAAGCGCACGUAGGCGGAUCUUUAAGUCAGGGGUGAAAUCCUGGAGCUCAACUCCAGAACUGCCUUUGAUACUGGGGAUCUCGAGUCCGGGAAGAGGUGAGUGGAACUCCGAGUGUAGAGGUGAAAUUCGUAGAUAUUCGGAAGAACACCAGUGGCGAAGGCGGCUCACUGGUCCGGUACUGACGCUGAGGUGCGAAAGCGUGGGAGCA
rnacentral:rRNA from 1 species